rnacentral:rRNA from 1 species
GUCCCAGUUCGGAUUGCAGCCUGCAACUCGGCUGCAUGAAGCUGGAAUCGCUAGUAAUCGCAGAUCAGAAUGCUGCGGUGAAUACGUUCCCGGGUCUUGUACACACCGCCCGUCACACCAUGGGAGUUGGGAAUGCCCGAAGUCAGUGACCCAACCGCAAGGAGGGAGCUGCCGAAGGCAGGCUUGAUAACUGGGGUGAAGUCGUAACAAGGUACC